GAAGUGAAAAUUUGCGACGAACCAAGAAAGACAAGUGACGCUCUGCGUAUAUUUUAUAAAUUAACGAUAGUUUUAGUUGUUAAAGUUGUUUGUGCCAUUCCGCACAUCGGUAAAAACCCGAUCUAAGGCUGAUACCACGCACAGUCGAGCAUUCCUUUCAAAAGGGCCGAUAUAGGCCAGAAAUCUAUGCUCUCGAUUAUAACUUGGCAUCAAAACACGGAUACUCCUCUUGUACUAAAGGAGACAAAUCUUUGAGCUGCUCCUGCUCCUGCUCCAACUAGAGCUGCUGCGAGAACCUUUAGUGAAUUAUAUUC